rnacentral:rRNA from 1 species
UGGGGAAUUUUGCGCAAUGGGGGAAACCCUGACGCAGCAACGCCGCGUGAGUGAUGAAGGCCUUCGGGUCGUAAAGCUCUGUCAAGUGGGAAGAAAAUGCUUGAUGUUAACACCAUCUUGCACUGACGGUACCACUGAAGGAAGCACCGGCUAACUCCGUG